rnacentral:snRNA from 1 species
AGGCUCUAGGGCCAUUUGGCUGCAAUAUCUGUCACCCCAUUGAUCACCAGGGUUGAUGUGGCUGAUCUGGCUGGCUAGGCAGGAGUCUCCUAUCUCCUUCACCGCCCUCUGUGUGACCCUCCUGCAGCGGUCCACUUGGGAGAAGAGGACAACCUUCCCCAAUAAAGGAGAACUGUUUCUGAUCAAGGGUAGCUGCACUCCCCUGCUGGAACCUCCAAACAAGCUCUCAGGGUCCAUUUGUAGAAAACGUAGGUUGGUCAGCUUCCUGACUCCCAUACAUCCAAAUGAGGCACUGGAUGUGGCAGUCUGCCUUUCGGG